rnacentral:rRNA from 1 species
GAUGAACGCUGGCGGCGUGCCUAAUACAUGCAAGUCGAGCGAACGGACGAGAAGCUUGCUUCUCUGAUGUUUUCGGCGGACGGGUGAGUAACACGUGGAUAACCUACCUAUACGACUGGGAUAACUUCGGGAAACUGUAUCUAAUACCGUAUAAUCUUUUGAACCGCAUGGUUCAAUAGUGAAAGACGGUCUUUCUGUUACUUAUAGAUGGUUCCGUGCUGCAUUAGCUAGUUGGUAAGGUAACGGCUUACCAAGGCAACGAUGCAUAGCCGACCUGAGAGGGUGAUCGGCAACACUGGAACUGGGACACGGUCCAGACUCCUAGGGGAGGCAGCAGUAGGGAAUCUUCCGAAAUGGGCGAAAGCCUGACGGAGAAACGCCGCGUGAGUGAUGAAGGUCUUCGGAUCGUAAAACUCUGUUAUUAGGGAAGAACAGAUGUGUAAGUAACUGUGCACAUCUUGACGGUACCUAAUCAGAAAGCCACGGCUAACUACGUG